GAUGAACGCUGGCUACAGGCUUAACACAUGCAAGUCGAGGGGAAACGACGGGGAAGCUUGCUUCCCCGGGCGUCGACCGGCGCACGGGUGAGUAACGCGUAUCCAACCUGCCUCUGACUGAGGGAUAACCCGUCGAAAGUCGGCCUAAUACCUCAUGGCAUCGUCUGCGGGCAUCCAACGACGAUUAAAGAUUUCAUCGGUCAGGGAUGGGGAUGCGUCUGAUUAGCUAGUUGGCGGGGUAACGGCCCACCAAGGCGACGAUCAGUAGGGGUUCUGAGAGGAAGGUCCCCCACAUUGGAACUGAGACACGGUCCAAACUCCUACGGGAGGCAGCAGUGAGGAAUAUUGGGCAAUGGGCGAGAGCCUGAACCAGCCAAGUAGCGUGCAGGAUGACGGCCCUAUGGGUUGUAAACUGCUUUUAUGCGGGGAUAAAGUGAGGGACGUGUCCUUCAUUGCAGGUACCGCAUGAAUAAGGACCGGCUAAUUCCGUG
rnacentral:rRNA from 1 species